AAAGUUUCGUUGCGAAGAAGGGCCAUUUGCAAUUUGCUGCUGCGAUCGGGACUAGGAGGAGAGAGCAAGCUCCGGUGUAUUGAAAUUAUACAUAUAUAUGUAUAUAUAUACAUAAUAUAUUGUAUCGGGGAUUCUCGGCGGCGGUGGGAGGUUGCGGUGAGGUUGUCCGCCAUUGCAGCAGAAGAGGGCGAAGGGAGUGUUGGCCAGGUCUAGCGUUGUGGAACUUCGUUGCUGUUUUUGGUUUGGGAAGGGAUUAGGGAUGAAUCCUGUGUUAUUUAUUUUAAUUUUUUGUUUCUUUUCUGGAAGGCAAAGAGGAGAGAUGAGUUGUAAAUUGAGAGCAGCAUGCUUGUGAAGGGAAGUGUGUGAGGUUUUCUCCUUAGAGAGGAUUUUGUUAGAGGCUAGGGGGGAGCUUCGACAUAAUUUUUCGCGCGAGGGAGGGGAUUUCUGAGCGCUCAUGUCUGUUCCCCGUAGUAUUGCAGCCGAUUGAGCUGAAGGUAGCUCAGGCAAUGCACUUGAGAAGGUGUCGUUAGAUAAUUUGUUCGGUGUAGCAUGGGAAGUGCAGAGGACUUUGAGCUUAUGCGGCAGUACCUUGAUCACCUCCAUUCUGCAUCCUCGCCACUUGAGAAGCUGCCUAUUACUUCUGCGUCAGAUGAGAUGAAAGUUGAUGAAGGGUGGACUGACGCCGGAUGCAUGUAUAUAUGAUCAAGUUAAUAGCAAGAUGGUUGUUUGCCGGAGAGAGGUGCAUAGGGAUCCUUGAGGCCUCUUUCUGAUCUUCAACGAUUUUAAUGUGCUGAAGACUAGAGUUUUGUAAUUUGUGUGUCUAGACAAUUCAACUUACGAUCAGAAUCUCGCUACGGCCUUGAGAUGGAUACAGAGCGACCCAGAAAACGGUUCCAUUUCAGAAUCAGAAACCGGCCUGACAGCUGGAGCAUCACAGCAUUCGGAGAACAAUGCUCUCUUUGCGAAUGCAUAAGUCUUUUCGAUCUAUUCCUUUGCAAAUUAGUUGUUUCUUACCAACCUCAAUAUGUUUUUGUGGGAAGAAGGAUCAAUCAAGUAUUCGGUAAUUAGGUUAUUCUGACGGCGUUUUUUGUAUUUGAAGGUACAGUUGUAUUCCUGUCCACUUAUUUUGAUAGCGGGCAUCCUGGUAUUUAGAACUCUAUAGACUGUUGUUCUAGGUGAAAAGUUCUCGACUUUGUAAACAAUUUUUUUUUAUGUACUUUGUAUUGGUCAUACAUUUAUUUGCCUUCUGCGCCGUCUAACUGGGCAUUUAUGUGUUUUGCCCUUACUCUGCCUUUCAGCCUUGAGACGAGUUGUGAGCCAGUCGUGUCUUCAAUAGACUUUUCGCGUUCGGUGUAUGCCUCUGCUCAUGGAGGAAAGUCACCUGGUUGCUGUUUGUGGUUAGCUUGUAUUUGUUCUUCUAAGCUUCUGGGAGUAGGUAUCUAAUGCUCAGAUUACAGUUAAUGUGUAUCCCGUUUACAAGGUAUUGUAUCCUAUUACGUUCUCGGUAGAUCCUAGUCAUCGGCAUUGUUGUUGGUGGCUGUUUGAGUAGUUGUAGACGUCUAAAGCCAUAAAUUGAGCUGGGCUAUGCUUUGAAAACCUUAAUAUGAAUUUGGAUGCGACGUAUUUGGAAUUCCACUUGGAUGCUCUUGAUUUGACAUGUUGCAGAAGCAGGGCGAAUAUUGGAAUAAUUAAAACAGGAGUUGUUAUGGAUGCAUUCCAUUUGAAACGCAAAGAGUUGUUAGCUGAGAUUGGGACUGCCUGGGACUUUCAAACCAAAGAUCGUUGUGAUGUUUAACGUUUAAUUGGUGGGCUAGAGUAGACACCAGCUGAGUUGGAAAUACGUAGACGGAAGUCAGCAACACUCCAUUGUCAAAAAGAAGCUGCGGAUGUGGCACCGCUUACAGGUACAACGAAGCUAGGUGUGAAGAUCGAAGGCGGAGAUCGAAUUUUAAUCACAGAUAAGGUUGCAAGAGAAGCUGGUUUAGAAGAAACACAGGCGCAGACAUCAGCGCUGAGAGAAUGAAUGACUACAAGAAGCACUGCAAGCACAAAUGAACCUCUCCCAGCGACUGCGACAAUUGCAGAUGAAAUUUAUCUUGAAGUCGUGAUGUUCCAGCGAGGUUGUGGAAUGUGGCUGCCUUGACCUCGUACAAGUACCUAUGGUGCCGUUGUCACUGCGAGCACGUACAAGUGUGAGUAGGAAGUGUUCUCACGGAACAUCAAGCUUUGGUAGAAGGUCCUACUUAAGGCUGCUACAGAUCCGAAUUUGUGGAUGAUGCUACCGCCUAUGGCGGAGAUGCUUUUAAGAGCACAGGUUAAGUGCAGGGGAAAGACAGAGACCUUACAUGCGACGCCUGACUGAUGGAAAUCAUACUUGCUUUGCAAAGGGGCAGAAGCUUUUGUGUUGGAACUUAUGCACAACAUAGAAAAAGGUGGAAAACAAAAUAAAGAGGUUCUGGAAUUGCACAAUGCAAGUAGUCUUUUGUGGUCUCCUCGGGUUGGUUGGGUAUCAAGCUUUAUGUAGUGAUCACAUCCACGCAGACGUACAUUCAUUUCUCAAUUGUUGACCUUGUGAA